GUACUGCUAAAGAGUCCCAAACCAGGACGAAACAGCUGUCCAGUAC
rfam:Trichobilharzia regenti genome assembly, scaffold: TRE_scaffold0015894